CUGGACAGUACGUUGGUGUCCUCCACUGUUUGGCAGUGUAGCGUCUCUCAACGUUAAAGACUUUUUGAAGUAAAGAGGAGCAUCUCAUCUGAACCUGAUGUGAGUAGAAUUGUGUGGCAAAGCACAACUGAUGUGACGUGUAUGUUGAAUAUAAAUCAUUUGAAAUUUGGACCAUGAUUAAACUGUUCCUUCCUUCAAAGGUCUAUCAUGGAUAUUUAACUGCAGUUCUGGGAGUAUCCCAACUUAACCAUGAAGAUGAACUGCAAACUAAGUCAUUAAUUUCUCAUUACUCUUGGGCACAUUGAUGUAUUUUGGCUUCCUGGUGAGUUAACCUGUUACCUGAAGGUUGAUCUGAGUAGUAAGGAUGUUUUAUUGGUUCAUGGGUUUCUUAGGUGUUUGGUUUAUGUUGGUUUUAAUGAUUUGUUAAAAUGGUUAGGCUCCACGUUGUUGUUGUAAGCUGGAGUAAUGGGUUGGGUUCUGAUAUCUUCAGUCUUCUUUCAUUCUACUCUCCUGAGCUCUGCAUCUUCAUCACUUGUGUUGCGUUACUGAUGAGGGUGUCGUCUGAGUGAGCGGAGGUGCAUACUGGGAUACAGAGCUGUCUGAAGUCUACAGGUCCGUAGACACGCCCCCUCAGGGGAAACCAAGUGUUUGAGAAAAUGUCGUGACGUCAGUUACAUGGACUGGAAUGUUCUUUAAAAUGGACUCGGGGAUUCCGAAGGAGAAACACCAGGGGGAGAUGAGGGGGCUCCUCAUCUCAACGACUAAAACACAACUUCAGUCUGACACAGAGAACCAUGGAACACAUUCAACAGUCCCCUCCAGGCAUCGUGACUCCUCAGGAACGGUUUCAUUUCCAUGAAGGUCUUAUUUGGGGCCAUCCCCAGAUGGAUCCUGCUCCUCAAGAGCCACCCCCCUCCACUGUGUGGUCUUCUGAACAGAUGACCUCCUUCCUGUCCUCAGGCUGACUAAAGCUGCACCGUGUGCAUCUGUGAAGGCCCCUCAUUCAGGAAACCACUGGACUACAAAGACAUGACUUCAGAGACGUUGAAUCAACCUGGGACAUAUUUUGGAGACGCCAAGCAUAAUCCAUCACCAACGUGUGACGCAACUGAAGAAUGUGGCACAUAAGUAAUCGUCUCUGGAGACAUUCAAUUUCAAUUCAAUUCAAUUUUAUUUGUAUAGCCCUUAAUCACCAUUACAGUCUCAAAGGGCUUAACAGGCCAAAUAUUUGUGACACCCCCCUUUACCCAUGCCCCCACACGGGCAAGAAAAAACUCCCUUGAAUCAGCAAGGAAGAAAUCUUGAGAAGAAACGCAGUGUAGGGGAUCCCUUCUUCCAGGGAUGGUCAGGAGUGCAAUGGGUGCCACAAAUGGCAUACAAACAUGUACAUCAUAUUAAAAUGGUGAUGGGGUUCUGGCCGGUUAUCCAUGAGGAGAGUCCAGGCAUCCAGUCCAGCACCCGCAGCACGCUACAACUGACAGAAUAGUGAAUUAGAACGGAAAAGUACAUAGUGGGAAUGUAUAAUGUAAUAAGAAAAGCACAAGCAAACAGAGUAGUCUUCACUACGCAUCUGUUGUUUUCACACUCCAAAUUAAAGAUUGUAGAGGUGUGUUUUAAGCUUACCUUUGAAUAGCUCCACAGAGUCAGCUUCCCUGAUCGCUGAUGGCAGCCUAUUCCAUAAAAAGGGGGCUCGAUAGGCAAAUGCUCUCUGUCCAGCCGAUUUCUUUUUAACCUUCGGCAAUGAAAGAAGGCCGGCUCCCGAAGACCGGAGAGACCGAGAAGGACUAUAAGGAAUAAUCAGGUCCUUCAGGUACAAUGGAGAUAGUCCAUGCAAGGCUUUAUAGGUUAGCAAUAGCACCUUAAAGUCUGAUCUGAAAGUUAUUGGUAGCCAAUGUAAAGAGGCGAGAAUAGGUGUAAUAUGAUCAAACUUUCUCGUUCUGGUCAGCAAUCUAGCUGCCGCAUUGUGUACCAGCUGUAGACUCUUUGUAGUAGAGUUCGGUAAUCCCGAGAACAGUGCAUUGCAAUAGUCCAGUCUUGACGAGACAAACGCAUGAAUCAGUGUCUCUGCAUCCACUACAGAUAACAUUGAUCUGAUUCUUGCAAUGUUUCUCAAAUGGAAAAAGGCAAUUCUAGUUAUACUUCUUAUAUGCUGAUCAAAGCAUAGUUGAGGGUCAAACAAGACACCAAGAUUUCUGACGGAUGCACUCUGUGGGAUGGCGAAGCCAUCCAACCACAGAGACAUCCUCAAACUUUUCCCGGUCCCGCUUCGAGCCGAUAAUCAUCAGCUCUGUCUUCCCAGUAUUAAGCUGUAGGAAGUUUUGUGACAUCCAGCCCUUCACAGCAGCCAAACAGGACUCAACCUUUUGAAUCUGUGCAGAAUCCCCGGAACAUUGGUUGUUCUGUUCUGGGUGCCCUGGCAGGAGAGCUGGGGGGGGUGAUGAAAUGUUAUUUGGCAUGAGGUUUUUACCCUGCAUGAUUGUUUGGCCUUUUAUGGCUCAGUGGUGUGUGUGUUUGGGUUUGACAUGAGAUGGAUGAUUUGUGAGCAUCGCUAGGGUUCUACUGUGUAUGUGUCUCCCACUCACACCUGGCUUGGGGUUCUACGUGCCUGUCCUGGGUUCUAUGUGUGUGUCUGGCUUGCUUUGACAGUGAUAAUGUUCAUACGGGGGUCUUUGUGAUUGGCUUGGGAUAUUGGAAUGGUCAAAUAAAUCAUACCUGAUGGACGGCCACACGUUUACUUAAGGGCCUCCAGUAGACCUGAAGAGCCCUGAGCGACGCCCAGGAGCGAUAUUCAACACACUGGGCAGGAAGGAGAGUAUCCAGAUCAAGUGUAAAAGGAUGCAAGCGGCGUGUUCAGAUCAGUGACUUGAAACUAGGACUACACCAAUCAGGAUCAAUGGAGGAUGGACACCUAAAGGCAUUCACAAGGAGAGUCUGACGUUGGAAAGGGACCUAAAUGGAUAUUCAAGGUAACCUUCAGACCUGUAAUGAGACGGCUCUUCCUACCUUGCUGGAUUGAUGGAGAGCCUUGUGGAUCUUGUCUUGCUCUCAGUUGCACGUCUUCUCAGGCUGAACUGUAUUCGUUUCGGACCGGACAAGCUGAACGAUUGGUUCCCUUAAAUCAGAACCAGUCCGGGAACUCCAGCUCGUGCGCUCUUCGAGCUGAAGUUGUGCUCUUCAGCUGAGGUCAGGAAACCUUCACUGGGGCUUCAAGCUGUAAAAAGGAGAAUGUUUCAAAGUGUUCCAUGGUACUCUGAUGAGGACCGUUGUUGUGUUCCACUGGCUGAGAGGAAGAACCCUCACAUCUUACUCUUGGCCUUUCUCCUCUGAGAAUCCUGGCGCCAUCUUGAAGGAUAUUCCAGCUCAUGUAAUUGAUGUCACGACAGAUUCUCACACAUUUGGUUUCUCCUGAGGGGCGUGUCUAUAGAACUGAAGACUUCAGACGGCACUGUAUCCCUGCAUGCAUCUCUGCUCACUCAGACCACCCCCCCAUGAGUAGGAUGCUACAUUCUAGUGAUGGAGAUGUAGAGUUUUAUAAGUAACAAGGGAGCAGACAAAGGUGAUUAGAACACAAUGGCAUGUCAAGUCUGUAAAUCUUUAAACCAUGAAGAUGGUUGGAUAGUUCAGGAAUUGGGCUUCUAUUUAUUAUGAGCAGUCCUUUCGCUCAGAUGCCCACUUCUCACUGGACCUGUACAUGUGUUGGCUGGCUUGCAUGAUUUGCUGUUGGUGAUGAGGCGGUCAAGGUGACGUUGCAGGGCUAUGGUCGGCUCUCUGUGAGUUCAACGGUUAGAUUUGCUCUGUAUGGUUUGUACCCUGAAUAAUCUAGAUAAUUGUAAAAUGGAGACACUGUUUUGUAGUGAAUGAUUCCAUUGUUCUUAGGCAAGGAUUUGAGGUUUAAAGUUGUUGUGGGACGUACAUGGUAGUUUGGUUCUUCGUACGGUUUUGAGUGAUAUAACAUGUACACACUGGGUGCAUAAUAAUGUAAAGGUACACUGAAUGGUAGUAAUGACCAACAGCAACAAACAGAUCUCGUCAAGGUAAGUCUGUUGGCUGUGUUUUAAUGUAGACCAUCGCUGGACUUCAGGAUCUUCCUCCGUUCAGCUCAAGGUGAGGAGCUGGUUCUGUUUUUUCUUUGGUUGGUUCCGGCCGGAAUGUUCGGAUUCCAGUCGGACGGUUUGUGCUUCCCGCCGUGGAAGGUUCUGAGUGCCGUCACUUGAUUUAGUCCCAAUGGUUAGCAUAGAACGUUGUAGUCUUGACAACCAUUAGAAACCACCUGGCAGUUAGUUGGUCAGGAGUCCCCUGAGGGAAUCUGGCUGAACGUUCUGGAUUGUAUUUGAGUAACCUCGAGCCGUUGCCAACGGAAACUAUUUUUCAGUCGGUUUCCAUUGGGAAUUGUUGCCCCUUAUCUUAAACAACUUAAAUUUGAUAUUAAAUACAUACUGACAAGUAAGUCGUACAAUACAGUGUUGAUAAUUUCCGAUGGUUGCGCCGUACUUUUAACCACGGUGACGGGACUCUCGCUGCGUACAAAACGGCGUUCUACUUGCGGCCCCAUUUUUGACAUCAGUGAAGGCUGAAAAUCAUUACAAGGUGGAAGACAAUUUGACAUUUCUUCAAAGGAACCCAGCACCUGAAUAUGGCUGAGUAUAUUUGAUUUAAUAUCGAUAUUGCUUACUGUUCUUUGUUACUUCAGCUUUUGUACGUUCUAAAUAUCUGCUGUCAUUAAUUGCCACAGAAGAUAAACCCUACCCAAUGGAAUGACGUUAAACAAAGACUUUGGUGCAGAUUUACCAACUGGAUAAUAUCAAAGCUAAAAUAUUGGCCUUCAUUCCCAUAUGUUACAGUAGAAGAUACUCUAGAACUGUACAAGGUUAAAAAGGUAACAUGUAGUUUGUACCAUGGUGUCUGCCUCCACCUCCUCACCCAGAGCAAGACCUCCACCUCCUCACCCAGAGCAAGACCUCCACCUCCUCACCCAGAGCAAGACCUCCACCUCCUCACCCAGAGCCAGACCUUCACCUCCUGUCAGAAGUCCUCCAGAACAGGUCAGUGCACUGGUGUGUGAGUAGAGUCUUCUCAGGUCAGUUUCAAUGCAUGGCCUGAACCACUUCUUUAAACUUGUGGACUGCUCUGUCUUCAUUCCCAAAAACGGGAUGCUCAUGUCUGGUCUCAAGUCCUUUCUAGCCUUGAGUUAUAAAAUAAUAGUUCAAUUAAUUGUAACUCGGUUUCAGAUGAGUCAAUUGAGUUAUUUUUGGGCAAAUUCUGAUAUAACCCUGCUGCUGUAUCUGAAAUGCGAGGCUGAGAGGCUGGGGUCCGGAGGCUUGUGGUGCCAGGGUGGACCGGAGACUGAGGCUGGAGACCAGCGGCCUGCAGCACCGGACCAGAGGACCAGCUGAUGGAGGAGCCGUGCUGAAGGCCCUGCCUGGUGGAGGAGCUGGUGGAGGCCCUGCCUGGUGAAGGACGUCUGUCGUGGGGACUCUGUCUGAGGGGAGCUGCUGGAGGAGCUGAGACGCUGGAGGACGACUAGGAAUCGACCAACAAGGAUUCCUCACUUUAGGGCCGGACUCGGGCUGUUUGUUCCAGACCAGGACUCUGGCUGAGGAGAGCUGAUGGAGGAGCCAAGACUCUGGAGGACGACAUCACUCCACCAACCAGGAUCCUCAGACAAAUUACGUUUGUAACCAGACCAGGAAUCUGGAGGACUGAUGGAGAAGCCGUACAUCUGGAAAGCAAAUCCUGAGGACAACCAGGACUGUCUGACCUCCAGUGGGAGUGAUCUUCUUGACCCAACAUGUAACCGUGUGCUUCCACACGCCUUUCCCUCACAUCUGUCACUAACCUCACUACUUCACUACUCUCUACUGCUUCCUCUUUUCUUCCUUCUGGUUCAAACCUUUACACUGAAGGCGCGCCUUCCUGCCCUCAGAGGGUUCAGAGUUAGGGUUGAGAGUCAGGGUUUAGAGUCAGGGACAGAGCUGGUCAGGGAGGACUGCUUUUACACAAACCUCUUCACUUGCUUUCGGAAUGGUGGUGACAUUUUGAAAAGAUUCAUUUGGGAAAAUGAAAAUGUCUACUUUCCUUUACAAAAGUGUACUAAACUAUUGUCAUGUGUUUUUGUUUAUAU